UUAAUCUAUUUUUUUUCCUUUGUUUCUAGUACUAUUUUGUGUCAUAAGAAUCUAUUGCACAUCCAAAGCCAUGAAGAUUUAUGCCUCUGUCAUCUUUCUUUUUGUGAUGCUGGGGAUUGAACUCAGGGCCUUUGUACAUCCCUGACCCCCACUUUUUAAUUUUACUUUGAGGCAGUGUCUUGCUGAGGUACUCAGGCUGGCCUGGAACUAGCCAUCCUCUUCUUGCCUUGCAGUGCCUCCAUUUUCUUGCAGUUUGUGGCUGCGCUUGUCCCUGUGGCUGUGUGACCCACUUGGCACUGCGGGUGGUAUGGGGAAGGGAGCCUCCUCCUUCUGCAUGUCACUUUCCAGUUUUUCCCAGCUCUGUUUGUUGAAAUUAUACUUUAUUCCUAGUGCUUAACCCAACCCUGUUAAAAACCGUAUUUUUGUGUAUUUAUCUUCUUACAGUUUUGUUUUCUUUCCUUUUAAGGAAAAUUUCAAAAAUGUUUCAAAUUCCUGUGGAAAAUCUUGACAACAUCAGAAAGGUGCGGAAAAGGGUGAAAGGAAUUCUUGUGGAUGUCGGGCUUGACAGCUGCAGGGAGUUGCUGAAGGACCUUAAAGGCUUUGAUCCAGGAGAGAAGUUCUUCUAUAACACAUCAUGGGGAGAUGUUUCUCUCUGGGAACCUUCUGGAAAGAAAGUGAGAUACCGAACAAAACCAUACUGUUGUAGCCUUUGCAGAUACUCGACAAAGGUGCUUGCUUCACUCAAAAACCAUUUACAUCGUCACCACGAAGAUGAGGCUGACCAGGAGCUGGUGAUCCCGU